AUUGAACGCUGGCGGCAGGCCUAACACAUGCAAGUCGAACGAGUGGCGGACUGGUGAGUAAUGUCUGGGCACCUGCCUGAUGUACGGGUAUAACUACUGGAAACGGUGGCUAAUACCGCAUACCCUCGGCUCUGCCCACAUGGGAGUAGCUAGGAGGUGGGGUAAAGGCUCACCUAGGCGACGAUCCCUAGCUGGUCUGAGAGGAUGACCAGCCACACUGGAACGGAGACACGGUCCAGAAUCCUACGGGAGGCAGCAGUGGGGAAUAGUGCACAAUGGGCGCAAGCCUGAUGCAGCCAUGCCGCGUGUAUGAAGAAGGCCUUCGGGUUGUAAAGUACUUUCAGCGGGGAGGCGUUACCCGCAGAAGAAGCACCGGCUAACUCCGUGCCAGCAGCCGCGGUAAUUC
rnacentral:rRNA from 1 species